rnacentral:rRNA from 1 species
GACGAACCGUCCAAACGUUGUUCGGAAUCACUGGGCUUAAAGGGCGCGUAGGCGGGCUCCCAAGUCGGUGGUGAAAUCGUCCGGCCCAACCGGACAAGUGCCGCCGAUACUGGGGGCCUCGAGGGAGGUAGGGGUCGAGGGAACUUCCGGUGGAGCGGUGAAAUGCGUAGAUAUCGGAAGGAACGCCGGUGGCGAAAGCGCUCGACUGGACCUCUUCUGACGCUGAGGCGCGAAAGCCAGGGGAGCAAACGGG